GAUGAACGCUGGCGGCGUGCCUAAUACAUGCAAGUCGAGCGAAUGACGAGGAGCUUGCUCCUCUGAUUUAGCGGCGGACGGGUGAGUAACACGUGGGUAACCUGCCUGUAAGACGGGGAUAACUCCGGGAAACCGGAGCUAAUACCGGAUGAUAACGAGAAGCGCCUGCUUCUUUUUUGAAAGUCGGUUUCGGCUGACGCUUACAGAUGGUCCCGCGGCGCAUUAGCUAGGUGGUGAGGUAACAGCUCACCAAGGCGACGAUGCGUAGCCGACCUGAGAGGGUGAUCGGCCACACUGGGACUGAGACACGGCCCAGACUCCUACGGGAGGCAGCAGUAGGGAAUCUUCGGCAAUGGACGAAAGUCUGACCGAGCAACGCCGCGUGAGCGAUGAAGGCCUUCGGGUCGUAAAGCUCUGUUGUCAGAGAAGAACAAGUACCGGAGUAACUGCCGGUACCUUGACGGUACCUGACCAGAAAGCCACGGCUAACUACGUGCCAGCCGCCGCAGUAAAAC
rnacentral:rRNA from 1 species